UCCAGAUCCUCCACAGGCCACACGCUGAAGAUUGGGUUCUGCACACGUGGCGCAAUCUCGGCCGGCCGAUCCACAGCAUAGCAUGACUUGGACCUGGAUCGGAGUCUGUGAGCGAGUUAGGAGUAUAUUGUAUUAGUGUAGCUAGCGACCAGUUGCUUCAUCAGCUCAGCUACUACAUAACCUCUUCAUUUUGCAUCACCACAGAAAAGCCUUUUGCUGCCUCUCGUUGCCCGGCUUCUUGGAUGAGGCAUGGCAUGCAAAUUGUAUUCUAGUUGGACUACCACAAAUAUUUUGCUCUGCUACCUGCACAUAUUCUGCUUUCUCGAUAACCAUCAGGCUAGGACUGUCAUUUGGCACCACACAAACUUCUCUUAACAUACAACAUAAGCAUUGUACGUUUUUUCCCCUUUGAUGGUUUCCGUUACCACAAAAAUACAAAAAUUCUAAUUUUGCACUGC